rnacentral:lncRNA from 1 species
UUUUUUUUUUUUUUUUUUUUUUUUUUUUUUUUGUGAGGUGAUGCUAUUCUGAAGAGGGAUUUGCUCCAUCAAUGGACAUCCCAGGGACCAGGAGCUCGGGAAAGAUGCUUCCUGCAACCCCUCCAAGUACCUCACAAGGAUGCUUGCAGAGCAAAAAUAAGUUGUCCUGAAUUAAAUUAAUUUCAAAGCUUGCACCAGGAUAGCGGAGCUACCUGACAAGUCAGGUCAGCAAGGACUUCUCACAAAACAGAAGCCAGUUCAUUAAAGUUGGUCAUUCAUUAGUGUGAUAAAGUAAUUAAAGUCUCCUGAUUACUUUCUCCCCCUGCUGCUCCAUCUCUACUACAAACAUGAAGGCUUUGGUAUAGAUGGAGCUGUUGACACUUUGUCAGUGAAAAUUCAGAACUGUGCAAGUAAAAGAAAUGGUUUUUUUGGGGACUAUAAAUAGUUUUGCAUUAAAGCAAAUGUAUUCUCCUUCCUAAAAUAGAUUCACCUUGCAAACAGCUUAAGAACAGUUGCAGCGCCAGAAGAAUUCCUUCAACUCCCCCCAGGAGACAGAAACAGCCGGUUUUCCCCUGAAAGAGCAAACGACAGCAGAGGAGAUUCCUCUACUGCCACCCCCCUCUUUCUGUUCCCUACUGCCGGGCAGCAUCCCUCUGUGCUGGGGUGUCAGCCUGAGAGACCACACAGCGUCUUUCGACUAGAAAAGGAUGUUAAUUCAUCCAGCUAACUUUUCCAAUCAUUUUUACUAACCGCUUGCAACAUGCACGCUCAUUAUGUGGGCGAAAUGGAUGAGGAAACUUUGGGGAGGGGGAACCGCGACUUCCCACGAUCGCUCUGAGCAGUGGGUUGCUUCUCCUUUGCUCCAAAGGGAAUGAUGCAUUCAGACAAUGCAAACAUCCUCUCUGCCAGGGCUGCAAUGUGAUAACAGCACUCUCCCCUUGCUGCCAGACCAUAAUUUCAUUCCCUGUGGAGAAUCACGGGUGGCGGUGCUGGGGAAGACGAGGAGAUGUUAGAAGAGAAAAUAUAUUUUUAACUCACCUUGAGGCUGUGUGUUGGGUUGACGACGCAGACAAGUUGCCCGGCAGCUGAGAAAACCCUCUUUGCCUUGUAGUGCUGAAACCGCAGGUGAAUAAGAUCUAACACAGCCCCAAAGCACUGGGUGAAGAAAAGCAUCACAACUUUUGGUGUUGCUGCUGCUACUGCUGUUCCUGCUGCUGCUGCUGCUGCUGCUGCUGGCAGGGGAAGCAGCCGGGGAGCUCUGGAGUCCUUGAGCCGGGGCUGGGAGUGUAGUCGGUGAGAGCUGCUCUCCGGCACAGCUUAGCAUGCCUUCAUAUUCAUCAUCAAAAUAAGACGGGAAGAGGCUUGCAGCAGCGGGGCGGCCAAUGGAAAGGACAGGAAUGUUAUCCUUGAGGUCCGGAGACAGCCAAUAACAAAUGCCUCCCCUCCAGAAACUCCCUGAUGAAUUGAGCCUGGUGGAGAAUGUAUUAUUGAACAUUACCAUACAUCAGCACAUUGCAUUUAUCUUGUGAUUACAGCCAGUCAUAUGUAAGGCUGUGGAGAUAUGCAGGCAAAAUUGAUUGCUUAACAUCUCCAUUUAUUAAUUGCCUUAAUUUAACAAAGGAGUGCUCAGACAGCAAAGCUAAAUGCAAGGCGCAGGGAAGAACCCCUCCAGUGAAACUGUUGGAAAGUAGCAAAAAUAGGUUAAGCAGACUAUGUUUUACUGAGGGAGAAAAAUCAAAUAUGCAAAGAGAGUUACAGAUCCUUGCAGGGGUUAAGCAGAAGUAGAGCUCGCUACAUAAAUAGAUUCUCGUCUGUGCAUUCACAGGCUUCAAUUUGGAUUUUCAUUGCUCUGAAGUUUUCUAAAUUUUAUAUGCUGCUACUUCACAAGAGUCCCAGCACACAAAUAACAUUUUCUCCAUCAUUGAAAAUAGGAGAGGUCAGGUCUCAGGUCUGGUGUAACUUGGAAUAACUCCAUUUAGAGACAGCAAUGUUUUCCUGAUUUACACUUGCUGGUGGAUCAGGUCUGUUGGACACAAAACAUGGUAAUUACUGGAUGCUGGAACUAUGGGAGCAUAAAAAAGCACAGAGCAUGCUUCUAAAAAUAAUGAAAUACGUGAUGCAUGAGAGCACACACACACACAGAGAAACUUGCACUGAGGGAAAAGUGGCUUUUAAAUCAACAGAAUAAUUAAACAUGCAGAAGGCUUUUCCUUGUCAUUCAUCUGCAUAUCAGUGAGCAGGAAAUUACAAAUUAGCCAUUAAAUAGUCCUAGGCAUUAAAAAGGAAUUAGGGAAGUGCAACGAAAAUAAACAUGCUUUUAGGUAUUAUUACCAGUGCGUAUCUCUGUUGGUGGGCAGGGAUCCUUCUCGAGCCAUUGAGUCUCAUUAAACUUGAGUCCCUGUAACCAGUUUUUCUGGGAGGUGACUAAGCUGAAGCAGCUGAGGGAAUCAGAAAGCACAUUAAUUUCAUGGGACAAUCCUGUGUGAUAUGUUGCUCUGCUUGUUAAUAAAUCAAAGAGAGUUAAUUUAAUUAGUUCUCUGCCAGAACUUCCUAUCAGGGUACUAUUUAGGCUUGCUAGCUAAGUACUCAGAUGGCUUAUUUAGCCUGGGUAAUCCUUUUCCCCUUCAAAGCGGAACAGAGGGAAGUAGCUUUUAUUUCAUUCUUUUUUCUUCAUUUUAAAAGUGAGCCCCAUGCUGGGGGUGAAGCUGCUGCUGCGGACAGAGCAGCCCCCAUACAGCACGGGAAUUAGCCUGGGACUGUAUUGUCACAACUGCCUCUUCCUAAAUCAAUACCACAAUCCUGCCUCUGCCAGACUGCAGAGACGAUGUGCAUGAAAAAAAAAAAAA